rnacentral:rRNA from 1 species
UACGAAGGGGGCUAGCGUUGCUCGGAAUCACUGGGCGUAAAGGGUGCGUAGGCGGGUCUUUAAGUCAGGGGUGAAAUCCUGGAGCUCAACUCCAGAACUGCCUUUGAUACUGAGGAUCUUGAGUACGGGAGAGGUGAGUGGAACUGCGAGUGUAGAGGUGAAAUUCGUAGAUAUUCGGAAGAACACCAGUGGCGAAGGCGGCUCACUGGCCCGUACUGACGCUGAGGUGCGAAAGCGUGGGGAGCAAACAGGAUUAGAA